rnacentral:miRNA from 1 species
AUCAACAGAUAUUAAUUGGGCGU